GAUGAAGAACGCAGCGAAAUGCGAUAAGUAGUGUGAAUUGCAGAAUUCAGUGAAUCAUCGAAUCUUUGAACGCACAUUGCGCCCCUUGGUAUCCCGAGGGGCAUGCCUGUUCGAGCGUCAUUUCACCACUCAAGCCUGGCUUGGUGUUGGGCGACGUCCCCUUUGGGGACGCGCCUCGAAACGCUCGGCGGCGUGGCACCGGCUUUAAGCGCAGCAGAAUCUUUCGCUUUGGAAGUCGGGGCCCCGUCUGCCGGAAGACCUACUCGCAAGGUUGACCUCGGAUCAGGCAGGGAUACCCGCUGAACUUAAGCAUAUCAAUAAGCGGAGGA
rnacentral:misc_RNA from 1 species